rnacentral:lncRNA from 1 species
CUGGUUAGCGUGUGCUAUUUGUUUGGAGUCGGAUGUAAGCCCAUGUAUUGGCAUUCUGUUUCCUUGUUUGUGUUGUCUGUUUGGAGUCGGAUGUAAGUCCAUGUAUUGGCAUUUUGUUUCCUUGUUUGUGUUGUUUGUUUGGAGUCGGAUGUAAGUCCAUGUAUUGGCAUUCUGUUUCCUUUUGAGUGUUUCUUUUGACGUCUCAGCGUCUCUUUUCG